rnacentral:lncRNA from 1 species
UUUUUUUUUUUUCUUUUCUUUUCUCCCCUCCCCCCCUUUCACCAUUUCCCCUCGGAGGCGCUUUCCCCGGGCAGGGGCAGAGCCGGUCUCACCCCCCGCCUCUCCCCGGCCCCCGCCGCCCUAUGGCGAGAGGGAGCCCCCUCCCAACCCGGGCUCGAGCGGCGGCGGCCUCAGGCCGGGGGUCAUCAUGGAACUAAUUCGCUGACCGACCCAGCGGCCGCAGCCGUGCGUCCCGCUCGAGCGCCAGCGCCCGCGCCCGCGCCCCCCGAUCCGCUUCCCCUUUCUCCCUCCUCAGUUGGCCGAGUCGUCCCGCGCGCACCGCCUCCGCGCGCCUAUGAGAAUGAGGUGGUAACGGGCCCCCGGAUGACCCCGCGUCACCACUGUGAGGCCUACAGCUCUGCCGGGGAGGAGGAGGAGGAGGAAGAGGAGGAGAAGGUAGCUACAGCAAGCUGGGUAGCAGGCAGAUCCAAAGGAUAUCAUGAAGUUUCCAGGGCCUUUGGAAAACCAGAGAUUGUCUUUCCUGUUGGAAAAGGCAAUCACUAGGGAAGCACAGAUGUGGAAAGUGAAUGUGCGGAAAAUGCCUUCAAAUCAGAAUGUUUCUCCAUCCCAGAGAGAUGAAGUAAUUCAAUGGCUGGCCAAACUCAAGUACCAAUUCAACCUUUACCCAGAAACAUUUGCUCUGGCUAGCAGUCUUUUGGAUAGGUUUUUAGCUACCGUAAAGGCUCAUCCAAAAUACUUGAGUUGUAUUGCAAUCAGCUGUUUUUUCCUAGCUGCCAAGACUGUUGAGGAAGAUGAGAAUUCCAGUACUAAAGGUAUUGGCAAGAGACAGUUUCUGUGGAUGUUCCUCAUCUGAAAUUUUGAGAAUGGAGAGAAUUAUUCUGGAUAAGUUGAAUUGGGAUCUUCACACAGCCACACCAUUGGAUUUUCUUCAUAUUUUCCAUGCCAUUGCAGUGUCAACUAGGCCUCAGUUACUUUUCAGUUUGCCCAAAUUGAGCCCAUCUCAACAUUUGGCAGUCCUUACCAAGCAACUACUUCACUGUAUGGCCUGCAACCAACUUCUGCAAUUCAGAGGAUCCAUGCUUGCUCUGGCCAUGGUUAGUCUGGAAAUGGAGAAACUCAUUCCUGAUUGGCUUUCUCUUACAAUUGAACUGCUUCAGAAAGCACAGAUGGAUAGCUCCCAGUUGAUCCAUUGUCGGGAGCUUGUGGCACAUCACCUUUCUACUCUGCAGUCUUCCCUGCCUCUGAAUUCCGUUUAUGUCUACCGUCCCCUCAAGCACACCCUGGUGACCUGUGACAAAGGAGUGUUCAGAUUACAUCCCUCCUCUGUCCCAGGCCCAGACUUCUCCAAGGACAACAGCAAGCCAGAAGUGCCAGUCAGAGGUACAGCAGCCUUUUACCAUCAUCUCCCAGCUGCCAGUGGGUGCAAGCAGACCUCUACUAAACGCAAAGUAGAGGAAAUGGAAGUGGAUGACUUCUAUGAUGGAAUCAAACGGCUCUAUAAUGAAGAUAAUGUCUCAGAAAAUGUGGGUUCUGUGUGUGGCACUGAUUUAUCAAGACAAGAGGGACAUGCUUCCCCUUGUCCACCUUUGCAGCCUGUUUCUGUCAUGUAGUUUCAACAAGUGCUACCUUUGAGUGUAAACUAAGGUAGACUACUUUGGGAAUGAGAACAUGCAAAAUCAGGAAAGGCUGUAGAAGGAAAUAUACCUUAACAGGCUGAUUUGGAGUGAGCCAGAAAAAAAAAAUAAAACUCUCAUUAUUUGUGUGGCUAAUUAUAAUUCAGCGUUAUUUAAGCACAUAAAGACC